UGGGAGAGGAAGCGGGUUGAACUGAAGCCGAGCUUUUUACAGCUCUGUUGUUCUAGGACCAGAGCAGUUCCACUCCUGCUUUCAUCACCUCUCCACCUCUGAGUCCCAGCCACCCACUCCUGCCUGCUUCCCCACAUGCCACGUCCUGGGGGAGGACAGUGUGGUUGGCAAUGCCCCCUCCACCCUCCGCCUUCCGCCCUGGGAGGUGCAGGAGUCUGCUUCAACUUUUGAGCUGUUUUGGUAGUUGGGCUUUUCCAGCCUUUCUAGGCAUCUGCUUUCCAGCUCUGGGAAAUUGGAGAUGUAACUUAACCAUACAAGUUCUAUACUAAUGUAUUCAGUGGCAUUAAUGUGAUGUUGUCUUUAAGGUGUUCUGGGACUGGAUAGGAGGUUUUUAACACAGGAUGCUUCACAUCCAAUUCUAAAGGCCUACAGGAUGCAGGUGUAAUUCAAGUUCUUACAUGGCUGUAAGGCAGACAUGGACAUUAUUUUAUAAUAUGACCAUAUGUUCAUAGAUUACGGUUAGUCCGCCGGCUCUGUAUCUAAUAAAAGUUUAAAUUCCAAACGCUUGAAGAAAAUUUGCGGACCAUGUCUUUUUGCCUGUAACUAGUUGCAAAAACUGAAAUCAAGACUCUACCACAAGCCAGUGUUUCCCAGUAGAGAAACCCUCUACUUUUACAACCUCUAAGUAAUGCGGUGGUUCUUUGGGUGAGAUGAGGGAUGCCAGAGUAUUUUGUUGGGACACUAGAGUGGCAUGACAAGUAUUCUGGGACUGGUUACAGUUGAAUCUCUGCUUCCUAUAUCCUGGACUGAUUACAGAGUCAAUGUUAGUGCGUUAACCAGCUUCUGAAUGCAAGGGUAGCUAGGAAGACAACAGAGAAAAUAGAAGGAUAUAAAGUAAUGGAGAGACUUCAGAGCAGUACAAAUGUUGACUUUGACACCACCAGCUGCUGACGUGAACUUGGCAGGAAUUUGUGAGAAAUGGUGGGUGUCACUGCAAGCAGGAGAGUCCUGCAGCUUUUGGGGUGAACAGGCAAAGGGGAGAACAGUUAUUGUGACCACUCGGGGGCUGAUUAUUUGUGUCCUGAAUGUGAAAAUGUCUGGUCUCCUGUUCAAUUUUGCAGCCACAACUUCACGUGACUCAGGGCAUUAUUUCCACCAGAAAACCAUAAAAACAUAAACAACCUCUGUUUCCCAAAGUGUUUGUUCUCGAUCUGAGAUGAUUGUCCUGUGGUGGGAGAUGCACAAAGCAGGGUCAUCAGAAGCCUCUCAAUUCCAAAGAUGAUUAUAGUGAAAAACAUUGCACAGUGACAGUGAAUCCUUGGAAUAUGAAGAAAGAUUGUAAAGUCCUGAAUGAAUUAAGAAGGAAUUGUUACAUUAACUUACAUAGAAAACUUGAGCCUAUGAAUCUAAACUCAUCUGUGAUGGCCUGCAGCUGGGAGCAAGCAGAUCAGUGUCAGUCCCUUUGCAGCCGUUGGCUGGGAGCCUGCAUGUUCCCUGGAAUGAUAUUUGAAACAUGUCACCCUAGCCGUGCCUUCGCUCUGGACUGGGAGGCGAGUCAGUCAGAAUCUGCAUUAUGGAAUGUUUUGGAUGACAAGCUUGUAUUUGCAAAUGUACACACCCUGUGGGAGGUGCUCUGUACAUACGCUGAGAUACUGUACAUAAAAUUGCCUCUGAAUCCCAAUCAUCUGAAAACCGUGUCCUCAGCCUUUGAUACCUUCAGCUGUUUUAUGAAAGUCCUCCAAGUGGAUGAAAGUAUCAACAACCGGAACAAGAGUUUUUCAUUGCCCUAUUUGAGAAGAGCUGCGUGAACGACUUUUAUAUUCAGGAUAGAGAUACAUUCAUCAAUCCAAACACCAGGAGCCGCACUGGACUCCAUCUGAGAUGACAGCAACCCCUCAAAUUCAGAAGCACUUCUCUAACUGACAACAUCUCGCAUGAAAUGAAGUUUGUAAAAUUGCAACUUCAGCCUCCAUCAGAGGACCUCAGCUGCCCCAGCGAACAGGGCCUUCUGUACAGGGAAUGUGCUCCUCCUCGAAGCAUAGACAAGAAGCAGCCCUUAGAUCUCAUCAGGAAAUUCUACGGAGAGAAGGUCGGAAUCUACUUUGCUUGGGCUGGGCUAUUACAUUCAGAUGCUCCUCCUGGCAGCAGUCGUGGGGGUGACUUGCUUUCUGUAUGUAUAUUUUAAUCAAAAUAACUGUACUUAGAGGUAACUUCUCUUUAUUCCUUGUUACGGUGCUUACUUAACUUAGAAUGACAUUCUCCAGGAGCAUCCACGUUGCUGCAAAUGGCCCUAUAUUGUCAGUUUUUAUAGCCGAGUGGUUUUCCAUUGUAUAAAUAUACCACUUCUUUAGCCAGUCAUCCGUUGAUGGACAUUUAGGCUAUCUCCAUGUCUUGGCUAUUGUAAAUAGUGCUGCUAUGUAUAUUGGGGUGCAGCUGUCAUCCUGAAGUAGGGUUCCUUCAGGAUAUAUGCACAGGAGUGGGAUUCCUGUGUCAUAUGGCAAUUCUAUUCCUAGUCUUUUGAGGAAACUCAAUACUGUUUCCACAGUGGCUGCACCAAACUGCAUUCCCACCAGAAGUGUCGGAGGUUUCCCUUUGU